CCUCUUUCCACGGUCUCCCUCUGAUACCGAGCCGAAGCUGGACUGUACUGCUGCCAUGUCGGCUCACUGCAACCUCCCUGCCUGAUUCUCCUGCCUCAGCCUGCCGAGUGCCUGCGAUUGUAGGCCCGCGCCGCCACGCCUGACUGGUUUUCGUAUUUUUUGGGUGGAGACGGGGUUUCGCUGUGUUGGCCAGGCUGGUCUCCAGCUCCUAACCGCGAGUGAUCCGCCAGCCUCGGCCUCCCGAGGUGCCGGGAUUGCAGACGGAGUCUCCUUCACUCAGUGCUCAAUGGUGCCCAGGCUGGAGUGCAGUGGCGUGAUCUCGGCUCGCUACAACAUCCACCUCCCAGCAGCCUGCCUUGGCCUCCCAAAGUGGCGAGAUUGCAGCCUCUGCCCGGCCGCCACCCCGUCUGGGAAGUGAGGAGCGUCUCUGCCUGGCCGCCCAUCGUCUGGGAUGUGAGGAGCCCCUCUGCCUGGCUGCCCAGUCUGGAAAGUGAGGAGCAUCUCUGCCCGGCCGCCAUCCCAUCUAGGAAGUGAGGAGCGCCUCUUCCCGGCCGCCACCCCAUCUAGGAAGUGAGGAGCGUCUCUCCCCGGCCGCCCAUCGUCUGAGAUGUGGGGAGCGCCUCUGCCCUGUCGCCUCGUCCGGGAUGUGAGGAGCGUCUCUGCCCGGCCGCCCCGUCUGAGAAGUGAGGAGACCCUCUGCCUGGCAACCGCCCUGUCUGAGAGAAGGAGGAUGGAAAGAACUGAGGAAGCAGUAAAAGCAUUCAGGCCGUACGAGCAUAUAGAAAAAACUUGCAAAGAAAAAUGAAGAAACGCCUGCUCAUUAGCCAUCUGCCACUUCACCAAUGCCAGGAAAUUCCGGGCAGCUGUUUUUUAUAAAGUGGAUAAUUCACAUAAUUGUGUUGGGGACUUCCAGCUAUGAAGAACUGUUAGAACAUUUGAAAAUUAGUGUUCCCAAGUUGUACUGUGAUACAAAAGCCCAGUGAAUUCUUCAAACUUCCACCUCUUACAGGAAUCUGAGAAAACCAGAUAAUGUUUACAUCUACGCAUGGGGAAGGAAGGCUUGGCAGAUUAUUGGUAUCGAAAGGAAUUCUUUUUAGUUAGUUUUUAACCCUACCUGUCUUGUGAAUGUGCUAUGUACAGGCUCUUUGUAAGUCUUCAACCAUGCAGCAAAAUCCAUCUAGCCACUCAAAGAUUGGUAAUAGCAUAAUUGUCUAAUGUGUGUCUUUUCAGGAAAUUGAAAUUGAUAUGUUGUAUCUCCCUCAUGCCAAAAUUUUAUAAAAAUCAUUUCUAAGCCUAAUGACAUGUAAACUGAAUUACCCCCUCCAAAUAUUUACUCUAAAAGCAAGUGGACAAUUUCUGUAGAAUUCCUAAGAUAAUCAUCUCCUGCUAAAAACAAAAUCUACAUUCAAUUUAUAAGAUGCCUUUGUAUUCUCUUUAAGAAGAUGAACCUAUAGUGAAAAAGCUCAAAAACAAAUUAAAUAUAAAACUUUCCUUCUACUAGUGGUGCUGGGCACCGAAUACCUGCAAUUUCACAUAAUGCAAAGCACAUUUGAGAACAAUGAACACACACCUCACGUUGACUUCCCCUCCUCUGACUUGAGCAAGAAAUUCCCCUUCUCUUCAUCUUGGUUAUUCCCUGUAAGUCUCAGUUUCCACAUCUCCACAGAACAGAGAAUAACAUGCAACCUGCUCCACACAGUGGUUGCAAGAAUUAAAUUUGAUCAGGCAAUCAAAUAUUUUGUACACAUUUCAUAUGCUCAGCUGCCUCAAGAAGCUCUAGUUAGACAAAACAAACAUGGUGGAAACAAUUGCAUGUAACUGAGGGCUAAAUAACAUGGAAAAGAUGCAACAUGUAUCCAUAGACUUGUGGACAGUGUAUUCACAGGAGGCAAUAAAGGCAGUGAGAAUACCUAGGAAAUGUUUCCUGGAAAUGCUAUCCUUGAUCUCAGCUUGAAGGAUGGUCAGAGGACAGGAUACAUACAGCCCCAAGAAGAGGAGAGGGGAUUCCAUCUACUCUUAUCUCUUUCACUCCCCUGCUCACAGUUGAUACUUAGCCAGCAUCACCUGGAAACAUGAGAGUUGAAAAGCAAAUCUCCAGACCCAUCCCAGUCCUAUGGACUCAGCACUCUCAGGUGGGGCUCAGAGAUCUGUUUUAACCAGCCUUCCAGCUGGACUUCUGAACACUCAAGUUUGGGAACCACUGCUGUUGCUUUGCUUGAUCUUACCUCCUCUCUUCGGUGACCACAAGUUCUUUCCACCUGACCAACUCCUGCAGUUUUUGCAGCUGUAAAUUUCACUUUCAUUUCCUCCAGAGAGCAUGCCCAACCUGCACUGGAGUCUAGUUUGUCCAUGCAUGUCCCAACCCCAGCCCUAGGUUAGGUAUUUUGGCCCUGUGUCAUACUUUCCUUGACAAGGUACUCAGGGCAUGUCAUUUUGCUUGUUUAAUUGCCUUCCUGAUAACCUACUAGCUCCAUAAAGGCAGGUACUGAGUCUAUUUUGUUCACAUCACUUCAUUCUCAGAGCCUUGCACACUGUAAGGUACUUUGUUAAUACCUGUUGGAUAAAUAAGUAAAUCAAAGAAGCCACGAAACAAUUGGUUUUGAAUAGUAUAAAGUACUAUAAAAUCAGGAAUAUGAUACAUAUACAAUUAACAGAUGCAUUUGAAGUACCGGUUGUAGAAACACAGCUGAGUUUAGUUUGUCUUUGAGAAGAGUUUCAUGAAGAGAUUUGGGUUUCGAAAAUCUCUGCACUGAAAAUGCUACCAAUGUCACACCAUAUCACCUGAUAAGGUAGUAUUGAUUGUUUGUUAUUAUCAUUCUUGGCAGUAUUGCUUGUUUGUCAUUAUCAUUCAUUUUUCCUCCAUGACCAGAUUUUUCUGCCUUUGGAGCAAUUUGGCCCACAGAGGCUGGCAGACAAAACAGCCUCUCACCAGUGCAAGAGAAGGGCUGUGGGGAGGCUUACAUCUAAGAUUUGUGGGUGAAUAUUGGAAACAGUAACUCUUCACUUUAUUAUAAAGAAAAAGCUUUGGACCAAGAGUCCUAACACCUGAAUUCUAACUCUGGCUUCCUUCCUUCCCUCAUUUAAAUAUUUAAAUAUUUACUCUAUUCCGGGCCCUGUGCUUGGAUCUGAGCCUACAAUGGCGAACAAGACAUACACGUAGUCCCUCCCUCACCAAACCUAAAGGUCUGCUCAUCUGCUAUGGGCUACAGCCACUCCUGACUCCUACAGGACACCGAACCUUUCUGGGCUAGUUUCCCCAUCUGCAAAGAGAGGGUGUUAAUUACAAGAUGACCAUCAAAGUCCCUUCUGAAUCUAAAAUAUGACUAAGAAUAACACAAUUACUCCCAUGAGUCAGUUAGCCAAAGUUCUUCCUAGUCCUCCUCAUCCUACAUCCAAGGAGCUGAGAAACCAGGCCCUUGAGCAUGAGGAUCAAGGGCAUAUGUAGAUCAAGGAAACCUGCCAUAGGCAGCAAGGCUGGAUCCACUUCCAUAGACAGUCUAACAGAAUGGGAAGAGUCCCAGAAUGAGGAAAGACACUCACUUAAGUCCUGGCUGUGCCAGCUCAGUUUCUGCAUCUGCUAAAUAAAAGCUUGGAGGACACAGUCAAGGUCUCUUCCAGCCCUAAUACUACAGGACUCUGCUUCCUCCUCCUAAGAGUCUCAUUCAUUGAAACACUCAUCAAAGAGCCACGAGAAGAUGAACAAUAAGCACUCAGACCCUGGAUAAUCACAAAGCAUGUCAUCAUCAAAUCUACAUCAAAUACUAAAGAAAAACUGUCACAAUUUUGUGACUACACCUAUAGAUCAGCUAUCUAAGAAUAAACCAAUUGGUGAAUCUUCCAAAGUUCUUCCAGAAGAAAAUGUCAUGCUCUACCCUACACAUUAGGCCAUUCUUGCACUGCUAUAAAGAAAUACCUGAGGCUGGGCACGGUGGCUCACGCCUGUAAUCCCAACACUAUGAGAGCCCAAGGCAGGUGGAUCACCUGAGGUCAGGAGUUCCAGACCAGCCUAGCCAACAUGGUGAAACCCAGUCUCUACUUAAAAAUACAAAAAUUAGCCGGGCAUGGUGGCAGGUGCCUGUAAUCCCAGCUACUCAGGAGGCUGAGGCAGAAGAAUCACUUGAACCCAGGAGGCAGAGGUUGCAGUGAGCCGAGAUCACACCAUUGCACUCCAGCAGCCUGAGCAACAGAACAAGACCUUGUCCCCCCAAAAAAGAAAUACCUGAGACUGAGUAAUUUAUUUUUUAAAAAAAGAGGUUUAAUUGGCUCACAGUUCUGCAGGCUGUAUAGGAAGCAUAGUGGCAUCUGCUUCUGGGGAGGCCUCAGAAGCUUCCAGUCAUGGCAGAAGGCAACAGAGGAGCAGGCACAUCACAUGGCGGAAGCAGGAGCAAGAGAGAGUUGGGGGGGAGGUACCACACACUUUUAAACAAACAGAUCUCUUGUGAACUCACUCACUAUCGUGAGGGCAGCACUUCUCAUGAUGAUGCUAAAUCAUUCAUGAGAAAUCUACCCCCAUGAUCCAAUCACCUUCCACCAGGCCCCACCUCUAAUACUGGGGAUUACCAUUCAACAUGAAAUUUGGGCAGGGACAAAUAUACAGACUAUAUCACCUUAUAAAGGUAAUGCUUUCCUUCCUUCUUUGCUUAGUUUUGGUGGCUAAUGGCUCUGCCCCACAAAUCCCCUGCCUCCCAAGAGAACUCUGCCAAGCCCAUCAGACCCUACUCCUUCGGGCACUGCCCAACAUCCCCUCCUCAAAGCCCCCUCUGCCCUUUACACAACCAGCACCCAGGGCUCAGGAGCAACAGGUGACAGGAAACCCCUCAAGUAAUGGCAGAGGCCCAAAAAGGAAAAUUCUGGAGUGGUUAGGAACUUUGUCUCAUUCUUUAGCUGUGAUAGGUUAGUAUCUGGUUUAGCCUAGGCAAUAAUAAUAAUACACUUUUUCAUCACUUACUGUGUGCCAAGCACUCACUAGUUUUAUCUUACAUAACUGACACAACAAUGCUAUGAGGCAGCUCAGCCAUAUUCUCUCUAUAAUACCGAUAAGGAAAGUAAUUUAAAGAUUUUUUUUCUCUCUGUACAACAGGCACUUUUAUUAGUGGCUGGAAUGCAGUUAUCCACAAGAGUGCACAAACAAAAUGGGAGAGGAGGAUCAGGUAGGGCUGGCAGCUGGCAAGGGAAAUGGGAGAUACCUGGCUGGCGGGUUCUCUCUGUUUGAGAUCCUGGGACAGUGCUAUCAAGUAAAGAGAAGAAGCCGGGGGCCUUGGGGUAUUGCAGGUGGGAAUGGAAAACCAGGUCCUCUGAGUUCAACAGGUUUGGCAAAAGGAUCCCCAAGGUAAGAUGUCCGGCCCCUCUACCCAUCCAUCCUCCAGAAAAUCCCUUGGGUAGAUUCAGUUUCUCUUACAAAGAGAACUGUGUUAGUAACUGGCAAAAGAAAGCAGAGGAGAAAUUUGGCCCAAACUCUCCAUCUAGCCGACAAGUUUCCAUUCUAAUUGGCACCCAUUCAUAAAGUCACUUGGAAUAAACAAAAUCUUAGUUUUUUGGGGGUACCCUUAUUUUCUUAGAUUUCACACUAGAGUACCAAAGUUGUACUUCUUUUUCUGAAGUGUCACUCAUUUGAGGACUUAUUUUCCCCAUUGGAAAUUUUGCUACUUUGAGCAGUUUUAUAUUUGCCUCCUAACAGACACAAAUAAAUGAGUCACAGAAGCGAAAAUGCAGGACCAUAAUCCCUUAUCUGAAAACCUGGAAGUCAGAUGUGCUUCAAAGUUCAAACCUUGUGAUUUUAGGAAGGUAAUGCAAUGCAUUUAGCGCACAACCUGUAACACUCAAAUCAAAUUCAUUAAUAUUAUUCAGCAGAACAUGCAAAUAGUCAAGAUAGAAUAAUAUAUACCAUAGAACCACACAUUAGGCUGGGUGUGGUGGUGCAUCCCUAUAAUCCCAGCACUUUGGGAGGCCGAGGUGGGUGGAUCACAUGAGGUCAAGAGUUCCAGAUCAGCCUGGCCAAUAUGGUGAAACCCCAUCUCUACUAAAAAUACAAAAAUUAGCUGGGCGUGGUGCAUGCCUGUAAUCCCAGCUACUCGGGAGGCUGAGGCAGGAGAAUCUCUUGAACCCGGGAGGCGGAGCUUGCAGUGACCCGAGAUCACACCACUGCACUCCAGCCUGGGAGACAGAGAGAGACUCCAUCUCAAAAAAAAAAUUAAAAACCUCACAUUAGUUCAAGUUAAGUUUUACAACCUACAGAGGGUAUCAAAAGCCUACAAGAAAAACUUGUUUUCAGAGCUUUUUACAUUUCAGAAUUAUCCAUAAAGGAUUACACACUUGCAAAUGGCUCAAAAACUAGAAGAAAACAAAAUCAACCUGAUAGUUACCAACCAUGUACAAAUUAAAACAAUCAAGGUACCAAUUUUUGCCUAACAAAUUAGCGAAUAUGUUUUUCAGAGAAAAUAACAAGAAUAUGAAAUUGAGUCUUUUUGGCUAUUGCUGUGAGAAUGUAACCUGGGAUGACCUUCAGAUCAACACUGAUGUCAUCAAUUGCCUCAAAAAUGUGAACAUCUUUGACCCUCAAAGUGCCUUUUCAGGAACCCAUUUUCUGUGGAAGUCCUCUGAUAUUUAGGCAAAGUUUCAUGCACAGAGGCAUUCAUUGAAAUGAGUUUUAAAACUCACUUAAAAAUAAUGAGCAACUGAAAUCUCCCAAAUAGAUACAUAGAAGUAAAAUACAGUGAAUCCAUAUAGUGGAACAGUAGGCAGCCCUUUUUUGGGUGUAUAGGGAAAUAGAGAAACAUUUCUGUGUAACAUAAACUGAAAAAGUCAUGAUACAAAGUUAUAUUGCAUUAUGAACCUAUCCGAGUUAAAAAUGCAAUUAAAGAACCUAUGCGAGUUAAGAACGC
rnacentral:lncRNA from 1 species